CGGGUGCACUGAUCCAGCCGGGCCUUUCCCUCUGUGGAACCCCAUGGCCUUCACUGGCUGUGGUGGGGAAACAGGACUUUUACUUUGAAAAAAUUAGAGUGCUCCAGGCAGGCCUAUGCUCGAAUACAUUAGCAUGGAAUAAUAGAAUAGGACGUGUGGUUCUAUUUUGUUGGUUUUCUAGGACCCGCCGUAAUGAUUAAUAGGGACAGUCGGGGGCAUCAGUAUUCAAUUGUCAGAGGUGAAAUUCUUGGAUCUAUUGAAGACUAACUACUGCGAAAGCAUUUGCCAAGGAUGUUUUCAUUGAUAAGGAACGAAAGUUAGGGGAUCGAAGACGAUCAGAUACCGUCGUAGUCUUAACUAUAAACUAUGCCGACUAGGGAUCGGACGAUGUUAUUCUUUGACGCGUUCGGCACCUUUCGAGAAAUCAAAGUGCUUGGGCUCCAGGGGGAGUAUGGUCGCAAGGCUGAAACUUAAAGAAAUUGACGGAAGGGCACCACCAGGGGUGGAACCUGCGGCUUAAUUUGACUCAACACGGGGAAACUCACCAGGUCCAGACACAGUGAGGAUUGACAGAUUGAGAGCUCUUUCUUGAUUCUGUGGGUGGUGGUGCAUGGCCGUUCUUAGUUGGUGGAGUGAUUUGUCUGCUUAAUUGCGAUAACGAACGAGACCUUAACCUGCUAAAUAGCCCGUACUGCUUUGGCAGUUCGCCGGCUUCUUAGAGGGACUAUCGG
rnacentral:rRNA from 1 species